AGCGUAGGCGGACAUUUAAGUCAGGGGUGAAAUCCCGGGGCUCAACCUCGGAAUUGCCUUUGAUACUGGGUGUCUUGAGUAUGAGAGAGGUGUGUGGAACUCCGAGUGUAGAGGUGAAAUUCGUAGAUAUUCGGAGGAACACCAGUGGCGAAGGCGGCUUACUGGUCCAUUACUGACGCUGAGGUGCGAAAGCGUGGGGAGCAAAACGA
rnacentral:rRNA from 1 species